rnacentral:lncRNA from 1 species
GGUUGCUUUGCCUGAACAGACUGCCCAGUGACUCUGGGUCACUGUUUUCUCAUCUGUAAAAUUGGAACAGCUUAGGAGACAAGGGUCGGGAGGAUUAAAUGAAGGAUCGUAGUGAGGCACAGGACCAGGCACAGCCCAACACUGGCACAGACAGCGCACGUUUAGGACUGAUAACAAUGAAGCCUGGCGGGCUGGGCCCUGGCUGUGAAACCUGUCUCCUCCCCUCCUGCCCAUGGGCUGCUGCAGGUCCUCUGUCCCUCAGGCACAGCGUUGUCUUGCCCACGUCUCUGCCCACUGCUGCGUCAGGGCUCCAUCCUGGGGCCCCUGCCCAGGCCUCUCAGUGCUCAGCCCCCUGUGGCAGUAGUGUCCAGCGGUGCCUGAUGAAGUGUGUCAACACCCAGACGGGGUUGCCCGAGGAAGACAGCGACCAGUGUGGCCAUGAGGCCUGGCCUGAGAGCUCCCAGCCGUGUGGCACCGAGGAUUGUGAGCCUGUCGAGCCUCACCGUGAGUCCCCUGACCCCA